rnacentral:piRNA from 1 species
UGGUGUACAUCAUCGACUUCGGGCUGGCA